UACGGGGGGGGCAAGCGUUGUUCGGAAUUACUGGGCGUAAAGGGCUCGUAGGUGGCCAACUAAGUCAGACGUGAAAUCCCUCGGCUUAACCGAGGAACUGCGUCUGAUACUGGAUGGCUAGAGGUUGGGAGAGGGAUGCGGAAUUCCCGGUGUAGUGGUGGAAUGCGUAGAUAUCGGGAGGAACACCAGUGGCGAAGGCGGUUGCCUGGAGCUUCGCUGACGCUGAUGCGCGAAAGCGUGGGGAGCGAUCCGG
rnacentral:rRNA from 1 species